GCGUUAAGAGUUCAGCGGGUUAAAGCACGCGUUUCUCAGAUAGAGUGAGAUGCGGGUUCGAGUCCCGCUUCACGCA